UAUUAAAGCCAAUUGAAUAAUAACCUUAUAACCUGGGUCAGGGCGGGAACGUAGCAGCCCAUAUAAGAAGUAUUGUGUUAAUUGGUUCUUUUUUUAUG
rnacentral:SRP_RNA from 1 species